CUACGGGCGGCAGCAGUGGGGAAUAUUGGACAAUGGGCGAAAGCCUGAUCCAGCAAUGCCGCGUGAGUGAUGAAGGCCUUAGGGUUGUAAAGCUCUUUUACCCGGGAUGAUAAUGACAGUACCGGGAGAAUAAGCUCCGGCUAACUCCGUGCCAGCAGCCGCGGUAAUACGGAGGGAGCUAGCGUUGUUCGGAAUUACUGGGCGUAAAGCGCACGUAGGCGGCUUUGUAAGUUAGAGGUGAAAGCCUGGAGCUCAACUCCAGAAUUGCCUUUAAGACUGCAUCGCUCGAAUCCAGGAGAGGUGAGUGGAAUUCCGAGUGUAGAGGUGAAAUUCGUAGAUAUUCGGAAGAACACCAGUGGCGAAGGCGGCUCACUGGACUGGUAUUGACGCUGAGGUGCGAAAGCGUGGGGAGCAAACAGGAUUAGAUACCCUCGUAGUC
rnacentral:rRNA from 1 species